rnacentral:rRNA from 1 species
GAUGAACGCUGGCGGCGUGCCUAAUACAUGCAAGUCGAGCGAACAGACGAGGAGCUUGCUCCUCUGACGUUAGCGGCGGACGGGUGAGUAACACGUGGAUAACCUACCUAUAAGACUGGGAUAACUUCGGGAAACCGGAGCUAAUACCGGAUAAUAUAUUGAACCGCAUGGUUCAAUAGUGAAAGACGGUUUUGCUGUCACUUAUAGAUGGAUCCGCGCCGCAUUAGCUAGUUGGUAAGGUAACGGCUUACCAAGGCAACGAUGCGUAGCCGACCUGAGAGGGUGAUCGGCCACACUGGAACUGAGACACGGUCCAGACUCCUACGGGAGGCAGCAGUAGGGAAUCUUCCGCAAAGGGCGAAAGCUUGACGGAGCAACGCCGCGUGAGUGAUGAAGGUCUUCGGAUCGUAAAACUCUGUUAUUAGAGAAGAACAAAUGUGUAAGUAACUAUGCACGUCUUGACGGUACCUAAUCAGAAAGCCACGGCUAACUACGUG